GACGUAGGAGGCGAGCGUUGUCCGGAUUCAUUGGGCGUAAAGGGCUCGUAGGCGGUCCAUCGCGUCGGGAGUGAAAAGCUGGGGCUCAACCCCAGUCCUGCUUUCGAUACGGGUGGACUAGAGGUAGGCAGGGGAGAACGGAAUUCCUGGUGUAGCGGUGAAAUGCGCAGAUAUCAGGAGGAACACCGGUGGCGAAGGCAGCACUCUGGCCGAAGACUGACGCUGAAGCGCGAAAGCUGGGGGAGCGAACGGG
rnacentral:rRNA from 1 species